GUUAUUCUUCGGUUUGCCUCCUCCCAGUGGCGUGGAUUUGCUCCCGACCCGCUUUUGGGGCGUGCCUGCUUCCUCCUCUCUGUUAGGUGAGUGAGUAGGCGUCAUUCUUCACAGUAGUCCUCUGCCUCCACCGCCCCGGGAUCUCCUUGCGCUCGGUCCUCUACGUGGAGUCACCUAUGCAGAGGAAUUCCACGGGGCGGGGGCGAGGACAGGGUGCGGGGGUCUUUAUGGCAGACAAUCCCCGGCUGAGCGCUUGGCCAGAGUUUCUGUGAUGCUAGAAUCUGGACUGCCUGCGACCUCUCCGGGACUCGGACACCAGCCCUCGCCUCCUGGUGAUCUUUUAGGUCCUGCAGAGAAGUGAAGAGAUCUCGCUCUGUCACCCAGGCUGGAGUGAAAUGGCACAAUCUUGGCUCACUGUAACCUCCGCCCCCAGGUUCGACUGAUUCUCGUGCCUCAGCCUCCUCAGUAGCUGGGAUUACAGAUGAGCCCCAGAGAGGCGAAGCCACUUGAGCUCGUGAGUGACAGUCAGAUGUCAAGCCCUGCUCUUUCUAAAGCGUGCUGCCUUCAGAAAAGAAGAGCCAGAAGGAUGGAAAUUACUUCAGAAAGAUGAAUACCAGCUUUGAAGGAAUAAAAGCUGACGAGGAAUUGAAGGAGUUGAGGCACGAGCUUGAACAGGGUUGCAUGUUUGGCCCUUGAUUGUAAAUGCCCAUUGCUGCACCUGUUCCUGUUACUUGGGGAGUUGCAGCAGAAGGAACAGCGGCCUGGGACUCCAGAGAACUGGGUUCCCUCUCAUCCCUCCAGGGCCACCACUUCUUGUGGGCCCUUGGGCAAGUCACUGUACUUUCUGAGUCUCAGUUUCCCCAUUUGCAGAAUGGAAAUAACUACCCCGGUCUACCAACUUAGAAGAAUUGCUUUGAGGAUCUGAUAAGGUGGUGUGGAUGAUGCUGCCUUGGGGGCUUUACAGUCUGGAGCUCAAGGGACCCCUUAAGUUGGGCUUACUUAGUAACUCCAGGGGUGGGCAGAACAGGACUCCAAUGAGGGUUUUUUUCUUUUUCCCUUUUUUUUCUUUUCCUAUCUCUUAACUUUUAUCUUUAUUAUUUUACAAUGCCCUUGUAAGAUGAAACAAGUGAUGCUGAAAUAUCUUUUUCUUUUUUAACCUUUAUUUUAGAAUUGGGGUACAUGUGCAGGUUUGUUACAUAGGUACAGUGUGGGCUGCUGAGGUUUGGGAGUACGAAUGAAUUAGUCACCCCAGUGGUGAGCAUAGUGCCCGAUAAGUGGUUUUUUCAACCCUUACUCCCAUCCCUCUCCAUUCUUGUGUUCCCCAGUGUCUGCUGUUCCCAUUUUUAUGACCAUGUGUACUCAAUGUUUAGCUCCCACUUAGAAGUAAGAACAUGCCCAGCACUUUGGGAGGCCGAGGUGGGUGGAUCAUGAGGUCAAGAGAUCGAGACCAUCUUGGCUAACAAAGUGAAACCCUGUCUCUACUAAAAACAUAAAAAAUUGGCCGGGUGUGGUGGUGGGCACCUGUAGUCCUAGCUACUCGGGAGGCUGAGACAGGAGAAUCGCCUGAACCGGGGAGGUGGAGGUUGCAGUGAGCUGAGAUUGUACCACUGCACUCCAGCCUGGGUGACAGAGUGAGACUCCAUCUCAAAAAAAUAAAAAUAAAAAAAUAAAAAGAAUGUGGUGUAUGAUUUUGUUUUCUGUUUCUAUGUUAAUCCACUUAGGAUAAUGGCCUCCAGCUACAUCCACGUUGUUACAAAAGACACGAUUUCAUUCUCUUAUAUGGCUGCCUAAUAUUCCACGGUGUAUAUGUACCAUAUUUUCUUUAUCACAUCCACUGUUGAUCCACACCUGGGUUGAUUCCAUGUCUGUGCUAUUGUGAAUAGCACUGCAGUGAACAUGUGGGUGCGUGUGUCUUUGUGGUAGAACGAUUUCUUUUCCUUUGAGUAUAAUAUAUCCAUUAAUGGGAUGGGGCUGACAUACUUAAAGUAGAAACGAAAAUUGUCAUGUGCUCCCCCACGCCCCUCCAUUCUACUCUGCAGAGAGACAGCUGCCUGCUGUUUGUGGUUUAGUACACCUCCUUCCAG
rnacentral:lncRNA from 1 species